ACAUCGUGAUUGGUUGCCGGUUCUUAUAAAUCCAACAUGGCGCUCUACUGGGUGAUCAGUGAGGACGGCCGGUUAUUAAAGUCGUUCAAACCGAUCAAAGUGCAGAUUUUACGGUCUCAUUAAGAAGCGCAGGACGAGUUAGUCCUACUCCGGGCUGAGGAGAGGACUUCCGGUCUUCACUGACUCAGUUUACCGGGUACCUUAGCAGCGGCGGCUAACGUUAGCUCCAGCUCGGCGAACCGACAUGGACCGAGCACCGACCAGGAAGGACCCGUUAAAGGACCGAGCACCGACCAGGAAGGACCCGUUAAAGGUCCAGGAUCAGACUCCACCUCCUCAGGACUCCUGGGACUGAGGGACUAAGGACCAGCUGCUGUGAUGUCAAACCUGCCCUCUGAUUGGCUCUAACAGGACCAGCUGCUGUAAUGUCAUGUGCGUUUGCCACUCUGGAGGAGGAGGCGUGCACGGAGCUGGUGCCCUACCUGAGCUUCAUCCUGGACACUCUGGUGUUUG